AUUGAACGCUGGCGGCAUGCUUUACACAUGCAAGUCGAACGGUAACAGGGUGCUUGCACCGCUGACGAGUGGCGAACGGGUGAGUAAUGCGUCGGAACGUGCCGAGUAGUGGGGGAUAACGCAGCGAAAGUUGUGCUAAUACCGCAUACGUACUGAGGUAGAAAGUGGGGGACCUUCGGGCCUCACGCUAUUCGAGCGGCCGACGUCUGAUUAGCUAGUAGGUGAGGUAAAGGCUCACCUAGGCGACGAUCAGUAGCGGGUCUGAGAGGAUGGUCCGCCACACUGGGACUGAGACAAGGCCCAGACUCCUACGGGAGGCAGCAGUGGGGAAUUUUGGACAAUGGGCGAAAGCCUGAUCCAGCCAUGCCGCGUGUCUGAAGAAGGCCUUCGGGUUGUAAAGGGCUUUUGUCAGGGAGGAAAUCCCUAGUGCUAAUAACACUGGGGGAUGACAGUACCUGAAGAAUAAGCACCGGCUAACUACGUGCCAGCCGCCGCCGUAA
rnacentral:rRNA from 1 species